AACNGUUUUGAUCCCUGCCAGUAGUCAAUAUGCUUNGUUCAAGGGGUAAGCCUGCAUGUCUCAGCGCAAUUGGCAUUCCACAGAGGGUCUGUGAAUGGCUCCUUACAUCAGCAGUUGUCUAUGUGAUCAGAAUGCCUGGGCUAGCCUGUCACCCUUGGGUGGCAGGGGAACCCAGUGCUGUGUGGACAUCCUCCAAAACCUUGUGGCUAAUACACACGAGAGAACCUUUCAGAUCGGUCGCUGUGCACUGCUGUCUCCGGACACAGGGCAAUACCUCAGAGCAAGGCAGGAACGAAGCAGAGUGACCCAUGUUUCACAGUGCAGCUAAGCAAAUGGUGACCUGGAUCGUAUCCGGCUGGUAUCAAGGCCAGCAUCCGCUAAGGAUAGCCCACUUGUUGUUGACUCAGGCCGGUCCCCCCUAGCAAGUGGGGAGGAGGAGCCACCGGCAGAGAGAUUUGUGUUUGUGGGAAGGCCCUCGUGGUCAACCCCCAGGCAGAGUUUGCUUGAUCACACGAGCUUCUGACCUAUCAGCUUGGUCUGUGGUGUAGAGGACCACAGUGGCCCUGACGGGUGACGGAGAAUCAGGGUUUGAUUCCGUUNUAGGCGCAUGGCCGAUAGGGNCCACUACCAAGGUGGGCAGCAGGCGCGCAAAUUGCCCAAUCCAAACACCUUUCCUGGGAGGCAGCGACGAACUGUAGCAAUCCCGCCAGCUCUCAGAGCUGGUGGGACUUGGAAUGGAUGCAAUCCAAACACAGUGAUGAGUAUCAACUGGAGGGCAAGUCUGGUGCCAGCAGCUGCGGUAAUUCCAGCUCCAAGGGCGUAUACUAUCAUUGUUGCUGUUAAAACACCUGUAGUCUGCCACUGGGUUGUGGGUCUGCUGGGUGGCCUGGCACCCUGGGCUGUGGGGUCUGCCGGUCCCUCGGGACUGUGUGGGAUCUCCGGUCUGGGGACCGUCGGGAUACAACCCCUGGCAGUAUGCUCCCACACCCAUUAUCAAGUAUCUCGGUGAUGUGAAUGCUCCUGCCGAAAGCCUCCUUCACUGGAGGCCCACCAGGCGGUUUCGUCCCCAAAGCAGGUGUAGGCAAGCCUCAGCCUGGGGUGGCACCCUGUGUGCCACAGCCUCCAUGGUUCCCAGGGCCUACCACCGGAGUCCGUCACCAACGACACCCUGGAAAACUCAGUGUGCUUCAAGCGUCCUGUCCGUUAUGGCUGGAUGCCCAUCCAUGGAAUGUCAGAGCAUCGACCAAGUGUGGCUAUCAGUGUUGUGCUGGCCUUGGGGCCUACUCAGGGCAACGUGGUGCAUGCCUGGUGCAAGAGUCUGCUGGUGACCCGGCCUGGCCACCCUCUCCGGAGGNGUGUGCCUGUGUCAAAUUGCUUGUCUGUGCUUCAGUACUGUGUGGCAUGUGCUGUUCGGAGAUGAUGGAACCACUCAGGGUGAAAGAUACAGCUGCGCCAGAGGUGAAAUUCUUAGACCGCAGCUAGGUCCACUGCGGCGAAGGCGUUCUGCCAGCCUGUGUUCGUCGAUCAAGGAUGAGAGUCUGGGGAGCAAAGAUGAUCACACACCGUCGUAGUCCAGCCACUGUAAACUGUGCCAGCCAGGCCUCAGCAGGGCAACCUAUCUAUACGAGCACCCUGCUGGGGCCAUGCCCCCUUCACCGAGAAAUCCACAGCCUGUGGGUUCAGGGGGGAGUACGGUCGCAAGGCUGAAACUUAAAGGAAUUGACGGAAUGGCACCACAAGGCGUGGAGUAUGCGGCUUAAUUUGACUCAACACGGGGAAUGUUACCAGGUCAGAACGCAGCUGUCAUGACAGAUUGAGAGCUCUUUCUUGAUCCUGUGGAAGGUGGUGCAUGGCCG
rnacentral:rRNA from 1 species